rnacentral:tRNA from 1 species
GCCUUCAUAGUGUAGUGGUCAGCACGUUCGACGCGUUAUCGAGAGGUCUGUGGUUCGAGUCCCGGAAAGGGCA